rnacentral:misc_RNA from 1 species
AAAGUCGUAACAAGGUUUCCUUCCCCCUAUUGAAGCCUUCCGCAGCGACUUAAUAAAUAACUGCGUAGCCUGCUUUGCAGACCACACCACGAAAGUGCUAGGACUUGAUUAACUUCGAGUACCAGCAGCCUAGAGUUCUAGGUCCACAGAUCAUGUAGUGGUGGUCAUUUGUGAUUGAGAUAUGACCGGUCUUAACUAAUUCUAGUUAAGAAUCAACGUUCCGUAGGUGAACCUGCGGAAGGAUCAUUAUUGAAAAGGGAACCCUUCGGGGUUCAACCUUAAACCCUUUGUCUUAAUUACCUGUUUCUUUGGCGGGCUCGCCCGUCAGAAGUUUUCUCAAACCCAUUAUAAAUGUGUCAUCUGAAUAACAAAAUAGAAUAAAACUUUCAACAACGGAUCUCUUGGUUCUG